CUCCCCUCACCUCACCAGACCUCUCUCUCACAGAAACUAGCCGCCCCCCUCACCAGGCUCCCCUCUUCCAGCCAACAGAAAAGCUGCCGUCCCCCGGGGUCCUUGGUUGUUGUUUUCAGAACAGAGCCAAGGACCCCCCUGCCAUUUCAGCUCUUCACCGUCGCCCUCUACCCACAGCACCGAUCUUCCCCUCAGCCACAGCCUCUCCUCUCAUAGUCGAACACCAUAACAGCCGCCUCCAGCAUUUCCUUCCUUCAGCAACAGCACCAGCACCAGCACCGACACCCACUAGAUCUGCCAAGAGGAGUGAAGAUCGGACAGCCAUCCCCUCUCCAUCGCAGCUUCACCCGGCUGACCACAUAGAACCGCCACGCCCACAGCCACCGAGACACAGUCGCCUGAUCUGCCACCUGAGGAAGGGAGAAAACAGAAGUGAAGCAGAUUUGAAAAAGGAGAAGACCGAAACAGAUCCGAAAAAGAAAGAAAAAUUAAAAUCAACUGCCUGUGUUGUGUUCGGUUGCUUUGCAGGUCACCGCCGGCGUAGGGAGACUGAGAAGAAGAAGUCGAUCCAGACACCCCCUGUUGCUUGGUUUUUCUGUGGCGGCGCGUGAACCCACGCGCCGCCAGUGGCGGUGGCGCGUGGGAAGACGCGCCGCCACUGUUCUCGCGCCCAGAAAUCCUGCUGAACACUGUUCCGGCUUGCAGAAGGUGUUCCCUGUAAAUUCCAGAUUGUUUUGGGGCUGUUAUUGUAAUUUUAAUGUAAUUUUUUGUUUAUUUGUUUUGAAAUUGUAUUUUGUACCGUGGAUGUAAAAAAAGAAAAGAAAAGAAAGAAAGAUAAAACAAUGAUAGAAAAAGAGAUGUGUGUGUGUUUGUGUAUUUUUUUUUAUGUAUGUUAUUGAAUCAAAGAAAAAAAUGAAUUUAAUAUUUUAAUUUAUAUGCACAAAUAUCUAAAGGACAGAUAAAAAUCAUGUUGUAUUUCCCAUAAAAAUAUAGAAC
rnacentral:lncRNA from 1 species